GAGCACGUAGGUGGGUUUGUAAGUCAGAUGUGAAAGCCUUCUGUUCAACGGAAGAAUUGCAUCUGAAACUGCAAAUCUUGAGUAUAGGAGGGGAGAAUGGAACUUCUGGUGGAGCGGUGAAAUGCGUAGAUAUCAGAAGGAACGCCGGCGGCGAAAGCGAUUCUCUGGCCUAUUACUGACACUGAGUGCGCGAAAGCUAGGGGAGCAAACGGGAUUAGAUACCCCGGUAGUCCUAGCCGUAAACGAUGGGCACUAAGUAGAGGGGUUA
rnacentral:rRNA from 1 species